rnacentral:rRNA from 1 species
GGCUCAGGAUGAACGCUGGCGGCGUGCCUAAUACAUGCAAGUCGAGCGAACAGAUAAGGAGCUUGCUCCUUUGACGUUAGCGGCGGACGGGUGAGUAACACGUGGGUAACCUACCUAUAAGACUGGAAUAACUCCGGGAAACCGGGGCUAAUGCCGGAUAACAUGUUGAACCGCAUGGUUCUACAGUGAAAGACGGUCUUGCUGUCACUUAUAGAUGGACCCGCGCCGUAUUAGCUAGUUGGUGGGGUAACGGCCUACCAAGGCGACGAUACGUAGCCGACCUGAGAGGGUGAUCGGCCACACUGGAACUGAGACACGGUCCAGACUCCUACGGGAGGCAGCAGUAGGGAAUCUUCCGCAAUGGGCGAAAGCCUGACGGAGCAACGCCGCGUGAGUGAUGAAGGUCUUCGGAUCGUAAAGCUCUGUUGUUAGG